rnacentral:rRNA from 1 species
GUGGGGAAUAUUGGACAAUGGGCGAAAGCCUGACGCAGCCAUGCCGCGUGGAUGAUGAAGGUCUUAGGAUUGUAAAAUCCUUUCACCGGUGAAGAUAAUGACUGUAGCCGGAGAAGAAGCCCCGGCUAACUUCGUGCCAGCAGCCGCGGUAAUACGAAGGGGGCUAGCGUUGCUCGGAUUUACUGGGCGUAAAGGGCGCGUAGGCGGACAUUUAAGUCAGGGGUGAAAUCCCGGGGCUCAACCUCGGAACUGCCUUUGAUACUGGAUGUCUUGAGUGUGAGAGAGGUGUGUGGAACUCCGAGUGUAGAGGUGAAAUUCGUAGAUAUUCGGAAGAACACCAGUGGCGAAGGCGACACACUGGCUCAUUACUGACGCUGAGGCGCGAAAGCGUGGGGAGCAAACAGGAUUAGAUACCCGAGUAGUCC